rnacentral:rRNA from 1 species
GAUAAACGCUGGCGGCGUGCCUUACGCAUGCAAGUCGAACGGUGUCUUUCGGGGCACAGUGGCGGACGGGUGAGUAACACGUACGUGACCUGACGCAAAGAGGGGGAUACCCGUCCGAAAGGGCGGCUAAUACCGCAUGUGGUCAUCGGGGGUACCCGAUGAGUAAAGGGAGUAAUCCCGCUUUGUGAGGGGCGUGCGGCCGAUUAGCUCGUUGGUGGGGUAACGGCCUACCAAGGCGACGAUCGGUAGCUGGGCUGAGAGGCCGAACAGCCACACU